rnacentral:snRNA from 1 species
GGAUGUAAGGGCAAUCUGGCUGUGACAUCUGUCACCCAUCAAUCAACCAGGGUUGAUUCAGCUGGCUAGGCAAGUGUCCCCUUCCUCCCUCACCACUCCACGUGAGUCCCUCCCGAAGCUGAGUGCUCAGUCGAAGAGGAUGACCUUCCCCGCUGGAGGAGGACCGUUCUUUGGUCAAGAGUAUAUGAGUAGCUGCACUCCCCUGCUAGAACCUCCAAACAAGCUCUCAAGACCUAAUGGUAGGUGAUGGAUUUUUAAAGGAGAUAAGGGGAGGACUGAGAUGGAAUACUGAUGUUUAAUGUAUGUAGAAGUUUUAAUUAACUU